rnacentral:lncRNA from 1 species
UGGGUUGAAAAACCUAUAUGCUCACCAGGCUCCCCAAUCUGACCCACUCAGUUUCUUGUAUUACAGGUAGUGUCAAAAGCAUAGAUGGAUGAUCCGACGAAAGAUUAUGGAUCUAUAUAAAAUGAAUAGAAUGUUGUUAAGCCUAUGAUGUUUUGAGGCCAUUUUUGUUUUGUGGCCCAUGAUAUUUUGUUUAUGCUUUUGAUCUGUAUUGAUGAUGACAUCCCAGGCUUUAUAAUGUAAUGAAAAUACAUUUCUUAAGAAAUGCUUUGUUAAAAGUUUAUCAUAUUUUGUUUUGGGAACGAAUUUCGCAUUACUUUUCUUUGAAAGAUUACUCUGAUUUUAUUAUAAAAGCAUAAACAAAAUCGGUCUUUUCUGGCUGUGAAAAAUGGGGAUGUCACAUCAAUUGAUCCAUUUCACAUAGUAAGGACCAUAGAUAAACAUAGUGUGCAUGCUUGGAGCAUGGGAUAACUAUUGUUUUAAUUCAAGUAUUAAGUUGAUAAAUCAAAACAUUAUACAAUGAAUAAUGUGUAAUCACUAUGGUGAUUAAAUAAAAGGUGUUUUAUUUAUAUUCAAAAAUUUUGAGACCAUAUUGGAUUCGAUUUUUCUUGUGUUUCACUUUGCAUGUUUUGACUUCCCAAAUAACUAGAUUAUUCAAACUAUCAACAGUCGAUCAUACUUUGGAAGUAGGUAUUGAAGCUAGACUGUCAUGAAUAGGUCUGUAGAUUGUCUAAAGGUGUUUAGACAUAGCACAAGUUUGAUGCAGUAUUCAUGAGUAGUCCUGUAAUAGGAUUUGAGUAUUGGACUAAACCCACUCUGAUUUGAAUUACUUCAUGGAUUUAUUAUAUUCUUGAACCCUAGACAGGUGAGUUGUACUUUACAAGUUGGUUGCACAUUGACAUAUGUAAACACACCAGUAACUUGGUAUUAUAAAACAUAUCGUUGUGUGUGAUUUGAUGAGUAACUAGAGCAAGCAUUUGAGUCGAAGUUCAUCCAUUCCUUUUACCCAAUAUGGGAUAAAAGCGAUAUUUGUGGGCCCCUCGAUGAUUUAGUGAUGACAACCCUAAGCGCUUGGCCAAGCCUGGACUGAUUUGAUUUGUUCAAUUAGUCGGUCGUCACAAAUCGGAAAUCAGGAAACAGCACAUGAACAAAGAAUAUGAUUAUAAUCCAUGUCUCAGUUCAUACGAUAUCUAGAAUGGAGGAAUAUAUGAUCCCUUAUCUAAAGGACGCGUCAGAGUUCGACAGCGACUUUAAGAGCUAUAAUUGCUAGUUGGGUUUUGGAGUCGUACUUGCAGUUAUAGUUAUUAGACUUAUCCAAGUGGGAGACUGUUGGAUUAGGUGUCUAAGCUCAUAACUAUAAUUGGUAUAUACUUGACCUGAGAGUAGCAUGGUCCUUUUGGGUUGCAUUCACCAGGACAAUCUGAUAGGAUGGAUAUUUGAGAAAGAGGUUAUUUAUGAUUUACUAAUAUAUUAUAAGUAUAAUAUAUUAAUAGAGAAAUCAUAUUAUUUAAUUAGUAUUGAUGAAGAAUUAAUUUGAAAUUAGUUUAGUGAUCAAAAGAGACUAAUUAAAUUAACAGGGACUGGUUAAGUCAAUCAAUAAUAUUUAUAGUUUGGACCAAUGAUCCAUAUUGAUUAGGAUGGACUAAUUCUAUGUGGGAGUCCACGAAGAGUUAGUCCAUAAGGCCCAUCAUAUGGAUUAUUGGAUUGAUUAAAGGUUUAAGUAAAUGGACUAGGGUUUACAAGUUAAACAUUAGAAAUUCCAAACUAUAUAUGUGUAACUUCUUUAGCCAAAAUGGUACCUAAGAGUGACAUUGCAAGAGAUGGAAGAUUUUGAGCUUCAUAAUUUCUCUCUCUUUAUUCUCCAAUUGUUCAUGGUGUCUUGUGAUUCCAUUAGAGGUGCAACAUUUGAGGCGCUAUACUCUUAAAGGCCAAAAUACAACACGAUACAACAAGAGGUAAUCUUCUAACUUACUUUUAUGAUUCGUAUGUCAAGUUGUAUGCUAGUUGUAGGCUUCAUGCUUUGGAAAUUUUAUUGCAUGUAUAAUUAAAGAAAACUUAGAUCCAAAGCUAUUAUGGUUGUAUGUGAACCAUAGGAGUGUUACAGUACACAAAACCCAACAAAAAUUUCAUUCUCUACAAUGGGGUUUCUUUCUUCCAUCCUCCCAUGUUUGAGGGAGAACUGAUCAGAUGUGUAUCAGUCGAUAGAUGAAAGAAAGGGAGGGUGUUUUUCUUAUCAGUUUCUGCCGCAAGGUGAUAUUGUGUCAAUUUUUGCUGAAUCAUUUCAUCUUACAGCAAGAGAAUAUUCUCGAAUCAACUGUUCUUUUGGUCUGAUGACCUAGGUGACGUCCAUGUCGCAAGUCAGAUAGGUGAUGUAGUUUGACAAGAUCGGAUGUAACCAAGGAGGUUCAAAAUGUUCCUAAUUCACAAAAUAGACUCUUAUUAUAUGUUGAGUUUUUCAGGGUUUGAGCAUCUAUAAGCAAUUAUUGAAGCUUCAAAGGAGGAUAAGGAUGCAGGUAAAUUCUUGAAAUGCAAGUCUUGGUUGCGUGAAGUUCAGUUCGUAAUGUGCCUCAUUAAUCCAAUUGUAUUUUGAUCGAUUUCACUAAGACUGAGGUGGGGAUGCUAGGGGGGAAGCUUCUGAGGUCUUCAUCUAUGAUUCAAAGUUUCCUUAUGAUUGGAUGAUUAUUAUUCAAAUGAUCAUCUUAUGUCGCAUUAUGCAUUCUGAAGAUCAAGGUUAGUAUAUUUAUGGUUGAGCUGGUCCGAGGUUUUGAUGUCAUAGUUAAGAUUCGAUUAUAGUUUGAACCAUAAAUGGGGGAGAAUUGGGUGUUUUGCAUAAAUGACCAUCGGGCGGUUUGGUUUUUAUAGUUUCAGCACAAAGGGUCAAAGGAAUCUGCGAUUCAGAUAUGCUAGACUUUGGUCCAGGUUUAGUGCUACAUAAGAAAAGGAAAGUGGGAUACCAUUAAAGUGAUCGUGCUUAGGAAGUUUCUCAUUGUGUUUCUCAAGGAUCCGUCAAAGUCCUCCAUAGCCAUGAAGAAUUUAAGAAUUUGUCAGAUUAUGAGUGCAGAUCAAGUUGUCUUCAGGUUUAUGUUUUCCAGGACACAGGUGUUGUCCUCACAACAAAAAGUCGAUGGGUAAGAAAGUCAUUAUGGUUGAUAGUUUCUUCUAGAAACACUAGGAAUCUUGAGAAAUGAGUAUUUGAGUCGCUUAGGUUGGGAAUCACAUAUAAAGAACAAGAUUGGCUCACAAUAUGGAUUUGUUAUUUAUGGUCAUGGGUGGAUAGUUGUUGAUCUGUCAAACAGAUUUAGAGUUUUUUAUGUGAAUUUUAGCAUGGGAGUUUUUCAACAAUGCAGGGAAUCAUUGGGUUUAGUUGUCGAUCCAUUUUCGACCAAUUGGUCAUUUAUUUCCUCGUCAACAUCUAGUAUUUAUCUGAGGGCCUUCAAGUGAUACUAGUUGAAGGUGCUAUUGAUGCGUCAACCUUCGCCAAGUUCUGUAACAUUUAUAUCUUGAUAUCAGUGUAUGUGCUCUCAAAUGUUUGUUUGUGGAACUAUUGUUCUUAGUAGGCUUGAUUUGGCAGUUGUCAUUGGUUAUUGGGAGUUCGGACGUCAGAGCAAUGUUGUUUAGUUUUUAGGCAUUUUGGUGGUCUAUGCAGAGUCUAGUUUUGGCAGGUCAUGUCGAUGGGGUUGGUAUUGGGAUUGAUUCAAAUAGGGUGUUGGCAACACUUCUAGGUAAUUUUGGAAUUCUUCUCCGAAUUUGGAAGUUCUAGUGUUCAAUGGUGCAUUGGAAGGAUCUUUUCAGUUUUAUCUAAGGUGUGGGAUCUCCUUUUGGCUGUUUGGGGAAUGUUUCUUUUAAUGGUUGAGCUUUGUCGUUGUGUUCGACCUGUAGGUACUUCAAUCUUUGGGUAAGGUUAUGUUAAAGAAGGAGCACAUUCGGCCUGAGGAAGGUUUUGUUUUCCCUUAGGAAGUGUGAAUUGUUAGAAAUCCAAUAGAUAAGGUGUUGUGGAGGGUAGGGGAUAAAGUGUGAUAGACUGAGCACACUCGGCCUAGCCGUAUGUAAUAGUAUUAAUUUGAUUUGUUUCUUUCGAUUUGGGGCAAGCAUUCAACAAUUUAUCUUAUUUCCUAGUUUCAUGCAAGCAUGUUUUGUCCAAUGAUGCGUUAAUAGUAUUUUAGAAUGGUAUGGCUCAUGUUUUAUAGAAUGGUAUGGCUCGUGCGGUUUUUGUUAAUUGUAAGGUGGGAUGUCAACUGGGUUCCUGCAAAUCAGUGGGAUGAUGGUCGCGUGCCAAUAGGCCCACCGGGUGUUGGUCAGGAGUCUUCAUGUUUAUGAUUGGGUGAUGGAAAGACUAAUAAGGAACCAUGAUUUUCUCAUUCCAAUAGUUGGAUGGUUUCACGACAUGUUAUGAACCAUCAUGGAGUUCACUUAUGUGUUAGGUCGUCAAUUUUGUCAUCGAAACACGUAUAUGUGGUUCUUUGGUCUUUUGCACAGUUGGGUAUUUUGAGAAAUAUGGAAAUACUAUUGAUGGCUUAGUAAACAAUGGGUUUGGGUCGGGCUUUGGUAGGAUUUUGACUUGUUGGAAAAGUUAUGGUUGUUUAUCGACAGUUCCUUAUGAAGUUUUCUUAGUGGACCUUUAUUCGUUGUUGCGAGGACGGUUUUGAAUUAGUUAAUUUGUCAAUGAUGAAGUUUAUUGUGGUAAUCUUGGAUGGUUUUCUAGAUGGCUAUACCCUAUACCCUCGAGCGUAUAGGAGUAUAGAUGUUGCUCGAGAUUUUCUUCUAAAUUGACCACUGUUACACUGUGGGAGCGGUGGGAUGGUGAUGACUUGUUAAGCAGUCAAGUGUGUAUCUGAGAACUGUUAGGUGAUUUUUGAAUUUGGGAUGGGUUAAAAUUCUUAAUCAAAAUAUUUUUAGUGUUAUUUUGCUCGAUUUAGUAAUGUUCCUAGUCAGGGACCUGGGAUAAAGUAUGACGAGUGGAUAAUCAUCAACCAUUAUGUAUAUCUCUAGAGUUUAGACAGUUGGGUUCCUAGUUUGUGAAUUAAAUUGAUAGAGCUGGUUAGUAUUUCUACUUUUGGUAUUUCCUAUUUAAGUGAUUUUCGGUAUGACGUGGGUCUUAAAGUUCAGAGAGGGAGGAACUUGUUGCAGUUAAGUGUUACAAGUAACCGAGUUAAUUAUUGGCAUCAGUUUAGAUCUGGAUGGUCUAUUGAGUUCGAUAUGUAUAUGUUGAUUAUCAGAAGUGGUUGGAGGGAUCAUAUGGACUAUGUUAUUAGAGUCUCCAGAAAUUUUAACUGAGUUAGAAUUCGAGGAUGAAAUCCAGUUGAAGCGUGGGAUAAUUGUAAAACCUAGUUUUAGAAUGUUUCUAAUUUUCAGAUAGAGGGUCGUCGGUGAAUCAAGUAAAGGUUUUGGGCUUCAAUAUAAUAGAUUUUAGACCCUAUCAGAUAUUGAUAAUGUUCAUUAAGUGAUUAAAUCCCUCGAAUUAUGCUUUGAAGCAAAGGGGUAAAUGGGAAAAGUAACAUUUCGGGCUUCUUGCAUGGAUUAUGGUUUUAGUUCGACAUGUUUUAAGUCAAAAUUAAUUAGAUAGGGUUGUGCGGCUCUUCAAUACAUUUUCGUUCAUAAAAAGAUCGCCGAAAACAUAUUUGAAACAAAAAAGUUAUGAUCGUUUGAAGUUGGAGUGGAAUUGGGUGAAAACCCAUCAUCAUGAGGUGAAGAGCAUAUCCUCAUAAUGUGAUGAGUCUGUCACGAGGUGACAAACUCUUUGUAACGAGGUAAGCAUUGGGCAACCCAAGCCCAUGAACUUUUAGGGUUUUGUAAGUAUUUAAAGGGUAGUUCGGUGUUAUAAGGCAUUUUCCUAUCAUCCAUCAUAUCUAAAGCCUUUUGAGAGAAACCCUAGCCACCCUUGACCACAUUGAGCCUCCCCUCUUCUCUCUCAUCCAUUUUUGUAGUUUUCGGUGGUUUUGGAGUAAUGCUUUCACGCAAGAUUGAUCCUUAAAGCUCGGCAGUUGAAGUCUCACCUUUCAUCUACCUUCUAGACCUUUGUAAGUUAUAAAGUUCCAAGUUUUAUUGCAUUCCAUCUUUGGAUCUAUGUGUAUUUGAUGUUCUAGUCUAUUUUGAUGACUUUUGAGUGAGAGUUUGGAAUAAAGUUUGUAACUUUAUUACUCUUUAAGGUCCCAAGAAGAUUGUAUGAUUCAGAUCUAGACUCACAAGUAGUUUUGAUGUCAUGUAUGGGAUUUUGACACAUUUCUUACCCCUUUUGACCUAGUUUUGGGUAGGAUAUGUAUUAGACAUGCAUGAACAUAAAGCAAGGAUUUUUAUGUUGCAUUUGGGUGUAUGAAAGUCUUCUAGAAAGUAUGGGCGAGUGGGUUAUAGGAUUAAGAGCUUAAUGCAUUGAGAUGGCCAGAGUUGUUCUCACGAUGCGAAGGAUUGGCCUUCAUGAUGUGAGAAAAGGGCAGUCUCUUUGACUGUAUUUUCUUGAGGCUGCCAUGAUGUUAAAAUAGCUUGGUCACAAAAUGGUGGUCGGCUGUAGGCCUUUUGAUAGUUAACUUUGACUUUGACCAUUGACUUUUUGACCAAGUUUUACUUUAGAUCGAUUUUGGGGGUUUGGGUUGUAGUUUGAGAUUUGGUCCCUGAUUUUUGUAUAAGUGACUUAUACUGCAAGUUAAUGUAUCUAUGAUUAACUGUGCUUGUAGUUAUUGUUGUGGUGUAUAUGUCGACAUAGUAUGGUUGGGUUGAGGCGAUACUGUUUUGUGUUGUAGGCCAACAAACUUAGGAGCAUCCAAUCUUAUGUUGUGGGCCUGAAGGCAAUCCAGUCAUAAGUUGUGGACUCAAGAGCAAUCCGGUAUUAUGUUGUAGGCCCAAAGACAAUCUAGUCAUAAGUUGUAGGCUCGGGAGCAAUCUAGUCUUAUGACGUGGGCCUGAGGGCAACCCACUCAUAAAAUGUAGGCUCGGGAGCAAUCCAUUCUUCUGAUGUGGUAUGGGCUCGGGGGCAAUCCAGUUUUAGGAUGUGGGCCCUUGUAAUUAUUUUUUCUGUUAGCUUCUUAUUAAAAAUGUUUGUCUUUCCUUUUAAAACAAUUUUUAGACUUUUAACUUUUUCAAAAAGUUAAAAAAGUCCAAAAACAUAUUUGGGAAAAUAGAAAAAUCUUUUUAAAUCAACUUUUAGCCAUGACAAAAAAGAAGCAUUUUUAAAAAUCAUAAAAUCUUUUUGUGAUUUUUAGUUUUUAUAAGUUUUACAAACCCACCCAAACACAAUUUAAAUACCUCCUUAUUAAAAAAAAGUUCUUUUAAAAAAAUUUAGACUUUUAACUUAAAAAAACAAAUCCCAAACACACACUUACUUUACUAAUUUUGUUUUGCUGUUAAAAAAAAAUCAUGAACAGAUGGCGAAACCCCGGAUUCGUUCAUGGCCACAAUUUCCGAUUCCUCCUUUUCCAUGGCAAAUAAACGUCAACCACCAAUUGACCACAAAAAAAUCAAAUAACACAAAGUAAAUUACAAAACUACCCUCUCCUGCCACGUCAUCGUAUCAAAUGGAUUAACCUUCCACCUGGUCCAAUAACAAGCCAGUAUCCCCCAACACCUAGCCAAUAAUAAUCAGCAUAUGGAUAUCGCCCCUAAAAAUCUCCUCCAUAUUUAGUCACCAGUCACCACCACCAUUAUUCAUCCACAACCGCAACCACCACCACCACUAAAAUCCUCCAUUUCCAUUUCCAGAUUCAUACAUUCUUCUGGGAAUGGCUUCCAAUACAUUAAUGAGCUGCGGCAUCCCCGCCGUAGGCCGCCCCUCGCUUCUCUCCUCUUCCAAAUCAAGAUUCGCGACUGCUGUGCCACUUUCCGGUGUUACCACCAACGCAUCUCGGAUUUCCAUGUCCGCCGAGUGGAUGCCCGGACAACCACGACCACCGUACCUUGACGGAUCUGCACCUGGGUACGUUUUCUUUCGUCUGACGAUUAAUUAGUUUCACAAGAAACGAUUUUUGAAGCUGAUUUACUGAUCUUGUGUGCGUUUCAGUGAUUUUGGGUUUGACCCACUUGGUCUUGGUGAGGUCCCAGAGAACCUUGAAAGAUUCAAAGAGUCGGAGCUCAUUCACUGCAGAUGGGCUAUGCUUGCAGUAGUAAGUCAUUCAUUAACGAAAAAAAAAAUAGCAAUGAUUAGUGUUAUAUGUUUGAUAUAUCAUAUCAUAUAUAUACAUAUACAAGUUACACUUAUUAUUUAUAACAUGUUACAAAUUUGCAGCCUGGGAUUUUGUUACCUGAAGCAUUAGGAUUGGGCAAUUGGGUAAAAGCACAAGAAUGGGCAGCCCUGCCCGGCGGGCAAGCAACAUACCUAGGGAACCCGGUGCCAUGGGGUACCCUACCCACAAUCUUGGCUAUCGAAUUCAUCUCCAUUGCAUUCGUAGAACACCAAAGGAGUAUGGAAAAAGACACAGAAAAGAAGAAGUACCCCGGUGGUGCUUUUGACCCAUUAGGCUACUCAAAAGACCCUAAAACCUUCACAGAGUACAAGGUCAAAGAGAUCAAAAAUGGUAAAUAAAACAUAUAGUACUUAAUANNNNNNNNNNNNNNNNNNNNNNNNNNNNNNNNNNNNNNUAUAUAUAUAUAUAUAUAUAUAUAUACUAACAUACCCUUUUGACCUUUUGACUUAUGUAUGUAUUAAAAUGAAAUGUAGGACGUUUGGCUUUGUUGGCAUUUGUGGGAUUUUGUGUGCAACAAUCGGCUUACCCUGGAACCGGACCCUUGGAGAACUUGGCAACUCAUUUGGCUGACCCAUGGCACAACAACAUUGGAGAUGUCAUUAUUCCUAAAGGAAUUUUCCCAAAUUAAUGUGCAACAUGCAUGCUUGCUUUUGAGCUCCAAAAUUCUCAUAUGUAAAGGCCUUGUAAAACUUCAUCUUGUAAUCAAAUGAACUUAUAUUAUAUUAGUGUCAAUUUCAAAGUUUGUGGUAACUUCUUAAAGAUUUCAUCAAAUUUCGAAAUUUUAUUUCAUCAGAUUGUAUACAAUGAGUUAUCCUAAUCAAAAUCAUUUUAUUUCUCG